rnacentral:rRNA from 1 species
CAGCAUGGUCUUAGCUUGCUAAGGCUGAUGGCGACCGGCGCACGGGUGCGUAACGCGUAUGCAACCUACCUUUAACAGGGGGAUAACACUGAGAAAUUGGUACUAAUACCCCAUAACAUCAGGACCGGCAUCGGUUCUGGUUGAAAAUUCCGAUGGUUAGAGAUGGGCAUGCGUUGUAUUAGCUAGUUGGUGGGGUAACGGCUCACCAAGGCGACGAUACAUAGGGGGACUGAGAGGUUAACCCCCACACUGGUACUGAGACACGGACCAGACUCC